rnacentral:rRNA from 1 species
UACGUAGGGGGCAAGCGUUGUCCGGAAUCAUUGGGCGUAAAGCGCGCGUAGGCGGCCCGGUAAGUCCGCUGUGAAAGUCGGGGGCUCAACCCUCGAAUGCCGGUGGAUACUGUCGGGCUAGAGUACGGAAGAGGCGAGUGGAAUUCCUGGUGUAGCGGUGAAAUGCGCAGAUAUCAGGAGGAACACCAAUUGCGAAGGCAGCUCGCUGGGACGUCACUGACGCUGAGACGCGAAAGCGUGGGGAGCAAACAGG